CUAAAAUCAAGUACCACUCAAAUAUCAACCUUGAAAUAUAAUCCUGCUUGAGAGCAGGUGAUUCAUGUAAAUUUAUGUUCACUGUCUAUGACUUUCACCAUUCUUCAUAUCUUUUUAUCCCAAAUGUUAUCUCCUCAGGUUUUUCCCCUCUAUUCACCUCAAUAUCUCCAUGUCUCCCCACCCAUAAUGGUGUGUUUAUUAUAUUUUUUAAACCCCAAACUUUAUAUUUCAAAAUGGGCCCCAAUAUAGCAGCAUUGAUUAUCAACACCCAGUACUCACAAGCAACUAAGCUCUGCAGAAUUGCCUAAGCAGAGGUAUCAUCUCUGGAAAGCCAAUCUCAUACCCAUCUCAUGUUACUCUUCUUCUAAAUCCUCCUUCAAUACUGCCCUCUGGAAUGCAAUAUUACAAAUUCCACUGCUGUCCACGACUUCUUCAUCUCUUGUUCCCUAGAUUUACUAGCUUUAACAGAAACAUGGCUCUCCCCCUCUGACACUGCUACCCCCGCAUCUUUAUCCUUUGGUGGUCUUCAACUUACCCACAACCCAAGACACUCUGAAUGUAAAGGUGGUGGUGUAGGGUUUCUCCUAUCACAUCACUGCUCCUUCAAACCUCUACCCACCCC